GAACCGCGAUAUGCAAUGCGAUCCGCAGCCCUUGUGAAUCAUCUGAUCCUUGAACGCAUAUGGCACUACACGUCUGGUUACAGGCAUGUGGUACACUUGUUUGAGAAUUUAUUUUCCUCUUAUUCAUUUAGAUUUCAAUGUCUAGUUGAAUAGAUCAUGAAGAUCCAUUUCUUUUUAAAGCGAUGGUGAUUUGAAAUAGAGGAUCAAAAGAUAUCUUACUGUUUACAGCAAGAUAGAAAUAUAGAGUGAAACAUUUUAUAUUUCGAAAUUCUUUCGAUCAUCUGAAACGAAAAUAAUUUCCAACUUAAUCUCAAAUCAAGUGAGAAUACCCGCUGAACUUAA
rnacentral:misc_RNA from 1 species